UGGAUUAAUAUAGUUAAUUUAAUAUUAGUUUGUCAGACUAAAGAUGUAUAAUUCCUCAA
rnacentral:tRNA from 2 species